GGCAGGUUACUUAGGACUGCUGAACCUUUUUGAUGGGUAAGUAGAAGCAUUAAUGUGCAUGGGAAAAUGAUUUAUUAUCCAGGGCACCUUUUUUUGGGGGGUGGGUCAGGGCGUACAAUGUUCGGUUUUAUGUGAAAAAUAAGGAAUGGUGGCAGGUUUUUUUUUGUUUUUUUUUUCUGCUGAUGCUAUUGAUAGAUUUAACAAUUCUGUACACACAGAAGAGUGAUUCCUUGUGAGCAUCUAUUUGUUUUUACAGAUUUUCCUUUCUGGGAGACAUCUAAACACUGUGGCUUCUUUGCUUUGGCAUCUACCCUGUAAAACAAAGGCUGGUGACCUUGGGACUGCUGGAACAUGAGAUUUAAUAGGUGAGUGGAAGAAUAGGUGUGAGUUUGCUUAGAUAAUAGCCUGGACUUUUGUUUUACAGGUUGAGACCUCAUAUUUAAAAGGCUAGGAGUGGAGGCAGGUAAUGUAGGACUGCAGAAGUUUGAUAGGUGAGUAAAGAAAUAGAUGAGUGUGGAAAGUGGUUGUUUUUUUUUUUUUUAGCCUCUGCAACCAUUUUUUUUCAGGUAUACCUGGUUUGGGAAGAAUCUGGCCACUGUGGUGCUUUAUCUUUGAAUUUAUUUUAUUUUGGUAAGUAUGAGUGGAUGAAGAAGUGCCAUUUGGCAUUAUUGUUCUUUAACCUGUGCAUCUUUCUUUUUUUAGUUUGGGUCCUGAUGUAGGAAAGGAAAAGGUGUGCAUGAAUAUGGAGUCAUUAUUUUGCCAAGGUUUCUAUUUGUUUUUACAAAUGCUUGACCUUUAAUUUAAUAGGUGAGUAGAAGAAUUGAUGUGCACCGAUAAUUGAUUCCUCAACCUGUGCAUCUUUGUUUUACAGGUUGGAACCUUGUGUUUAAAAGAAUAAAAGUGGAGGCAGGUAACUUUGAUUCUUCUACUCACCUAUCACAUGUCACUAUUAUCCAUGCACAUUGGCUUGCUGAAACAUUUUAGGCAACCAUUUGUUUAGAGGUUUCCCAAACGGGAAAGCCUGCAAAAACACAGGUACUUCAACCGUGGCGGGUAACUUUAAAUCAUGUUUCUUUUGGUAGGUAUGAGUGGAUGGACUAAUUCAGUUUGGCACUAUUUCUCAGUGUGGACAUUUUGAUUUUUUUUUUCAAAUUGUUUUACAGGUGUUUUUGGCUUUCUGCCAUGACUAGGGUACCACAGUGGCUAGAGGCCGGUUUACUUGGUAGGUAUACCAGUGGAUGGGCUAACUCGGUUUGGCAUUAUCAUUCUUCAUCAUGAACAUCUUUGUUUUAUAGGUUGGGACCAUUUUCCUUAUAUGGAACAAGAAAGGGAUGGCAGCAGAUCACCAGUUCACCAGCUUCACCAGCUUAUGAAAGAAGAAUUUGUGUUCAUUUACUUUUACAGGUUUUCCUGUCUGUGAGACUUCUAUCCACUGUCACACUUCAGCCAUGACUGGGUUAUUUGGAAUCCUGUUCUUUAGUCGGUAUGAAUGGAUUGGGAAAUGUAGUUUUAGUUUUUAUUCUUUAACCUGGGCAUCUUUUGUUUUACAGAUUAGCACAUUGUGGCGGAAAAAGGCUAAAAGUGGCUAGUGUGGUAAGGAGUAGUGGCUAGUGUGGUAAGGAGUAGUGGCAGGUAACUUAACCUUAUGAAAGGGGAGUAGAAGAAUCAAUGUGCAUGAAGUGAUUAACCUGGGCAUAUCAUAUUUUUUUUUAUUUUUAGGUUUGUUUGUUUUUUUUCUUACAUGGAGAACAAGGUGUGGUGACAGGUAACCUACUGAAGCUUGUGAAUGUGAGUAAAGGAUUCUGUGUGGGCUGAUUCCUCAGCUAAAGUAAUAGUGUCUAGAGAUAUGCCAAAUAGGAAAAACUGUAAAAACAAAUAGAUGCUCAUGCUAUGGCUGGGUAACUUGGAAUCCUAUUUCUCUUGGUAAGUUAUGAGUGGAUGAUUGGCAAAAACAGUUUAGUUCUGUUUUUCAGCCUGGAUAUCUUUUUACUGGCUGGAUCCUAAUGUGCAAAAGAAAAGGAGCCAGAGGCAGGUGACCUGACACUGCUGGAACCUGAGAUUUAAUAGGUGAGUAGAAGAAUAGGUCACUUAGAUGUCCAGGCUGAAGAAUCACUAUCAGUAUGUUUUACAGAUUAGGACCUCAUUUUUAAAAGGCUAGGCGUGGAGAAAGGUAACAUAGGACUCUAGAGCUUAUGCUAGGUGUACCUGGUUUGGGAAGGAUCUAGGCACUGUGGUACUUCAGCUGGGUAACUUGUAAUCCUGUUUCUUUUUGGUAAGAAUGGACCAAUUCAGUUUGGCACUGCUAUUCUUCAGCAUAGACAUUUUUGUUUUACAGGUUGGCUCCAGAUGUAGGAAAGAAGGCAGAGGCAGGUAACUUUGGAUUGCUAAAGCUUGAGACUGGUGAUUAGAAAUGAAUAAUUUUUCUUAAUGAAUAUCUAUCACCCUGGGAAUCUGUUUUUUCAGGUUGGAACCCUUUUCCUUUAUGUGGAAAAUGCAAGGCAUGGUGGCAGGUAAUUUUGUACAGCUUAAGCAUGUGAUAGGAAAACCUGUAAAAGCAAAUGCACACUAAUUAUUCUAUUUUGGAGACUUCUAUCCACUGUCACACAUCAGCCAUGGCUGGAUAGCUUAGAAUCACUAUUAUCCAAGUACACCUAAACCUAUUCUUAUAUUAAAUCACAAGUUCCAGAAGUUUCAAUGUCACUUGCCUCUGGCUGCUAUCCUUUCCCACAUUAGGACCCAACAUGUAUAAACAAAGCUGCCCAGGCUGAGGAAUGCAAAAGAAAAAUGGAAUUUGCCCAUCAGCCACUCAUACCUACUUAAAAAUGCCCAGGCUGAAGAAUCCUGUUUCUUUGUGUCAAAGCGGUGAGGAGCAGAAGCUGGUAACUUUUUACUGCUGAAGCUUGUGAUGGCCAAGUAAAAAAUAAUCAAUGUGCAUGGAUAAUAAUGAUUCUUCAAACUGAGUAUCUAUUUUUAAUUUUACAGAUAUUCUGGUUUGGGAAACAUCUAGCCAUUGUGGUACUUUAGCCAUGGCAAAGCUAUUGGAAUUCGUUUUUUUUGUUAUGUAUGAGUGGAUGAGGAAAUUCAGUUUGGUGGUAGCCUUUGGCCUGGGCAUCUGUUAUAGAGACUGGCACAUUGUAGGGCAAAGGCUAUAAGUAAAGAAAGGUGUAAAUGAGGACUGCUGAAACUAAUGAUAGGUGAGAAUAAAAAUUGAUGUGUCUGGUCAAGUCAUUUUAUAAGCCUUGGCAAUUUUUUUUUUCUACAGGUUGGGACCAGUUUUCUUACAUAGAAAAAAUGAGUAGGGAGUAGAAUAAUUAAUGUGCAUGGAUAAUAGUAUAUUCUCUUAUUUUUUUCAGGUUUGGAAAGCAUCCAGUCACUAUGGGGUAUCUUAUAUACCCAGCAAAAGAAACAAGUGGAUGAUGGGCAAAUUCUUCAUCUCAUCUCUGUGGAAAGGAACUGAGCUGGAAUCUUGUGAUUGUGAUUUAAUAGGUGAGAGAAGAAUAGGUGUUCUAAGAAUGUUUCUUCAGCAUGUGCUCUUUGUUUUACAGGUUUUCCUUGAUUGGGAGAAGUCUAGCCAAUGUGGUACUUUCGCUUUGUCAGGGGUUACUUACAAUCCUUUUUAUUUUGGUAAGUAUGAGUGGAUGGAGAAAUGCCAUUUGACUUCUUUCAUUCUUUAGCCUGGGCAUCUUUUAUUUGAUAGGUUGGGUCCUGGCAUAGGAAAGGAGGCAGAGGCAGAUGACCACAAGCUUCAGCAGUCCCAGGUCAACAGGUGAGCAGAGAAAAAGAAGCCUGGAAAAAAUAAUUACUAUUUACAUCUAUCUGUUUUUACAGGUGUUCUUGGUUUUGGCAUUGUCUAGCCACUGCGGUAACCCAGCCCUGGCAAAGGCCUGUUUACUAGGUAGGUAUGAGUGGUUGGGCUAACUCAGUUUGGCAUUAUCAUUGUUCAUUGUGGACCUCUUUGUUUUAUAGGUUGGGACAUUGUGUGGAAAAGACUAGCAGUAGAGGCAGGUGACUUAGGAAUGCUGAAGUUUAUUGGUGAGUAGAAGAAUUGAUGUGCAUGGAUUUUAUUGAUUCUUCAACCUUGGGUAUCUUUUGACAGGUUGGCACAUUGUGCUUGAAAGGCUAGGAGUGGCAGGUAUGUAACUUUGUACUGCUGAGCCUUGUGAUAAGAAAGUAUUAAUUUUACAGUUUUUUUCCAGUUUGGAAACAUCUAGCCACUGUGGUUCUUUAACCAUGGUACAUUCUGUGUUUAAAAGAAUAAGUGGAGGCAGGUAACUUUGUACUGCUAAAGCUAGUGAUUGGUGAGUAGAUGUGCAACUUUUUUUUUUUUUUUUGUUCCUACAGGUUUUUGUUAAGAUUACUAGCAACUGUGAGCGGGGCCUACUUGGAAUUCUAUUUUGGUAGGUAUAGGUGAAUGGACUAAUUCAGUUUGGCAUUAUCAUUCUUCAGCAUGAAAAUCUUUGUUUUACAGAUUGGUACAGAAAAGGCUAGGAGGAGAAAAAGGUAACUUGGGACUGCUGAAGCUUAUACUAGGUAAGUAUUGUGCUACUAUGUUUUAAUACAAAUUCUUUAGCCUGGGCAACAAUUUGUUUUUACAGACAUAUAGCCACUGUGGUGCUUCAGUCUUGGCAAGGUUACCUGGUAUCCAGUUUUUUUUGCUAGGUAGGUGAGUGAAUGGCUGGCAAAUUCUGUUUUUGUUUUCAUUCUUCUCUGGCAUCUUUGUUUUUAUAGGUUGGAUCUUGGUGUAAGAAAGGAUUAAAGAUUAUUGCAGGUGAUCUGGGACUGCUGGAACUUGUUGUUUAAUAGGUCAGGACCUUGUUUGGGAGAAGUAUUAGCCUUACAGCAGUUUCCUAAUGUUGAUGCCCUACAAACUCAGCACCCAAGGAAACAGCUCUUGUUUGCACGUACCUGACAUCUCUAUCUUCACUGUGCCAUGUAUCUAAAUGGAUUUUAUAUUUGUAUCAUAAUUGUAAAAUAUUUUUUAUUAAAUAUGUUUUGAUUUAUCUUAUAA